AGAUUUCUUCGGGGCAGGGUGUAAUUCCCGACCGACGGUGACAACCCUUGGGUUGAAGUCCGUGACCCGCGUGAGCGGUGGACCUGGUGUGAGUCCGGGACCGACAGUAAAGUCUGGAUGGUAGAAGAAGAAA
rnacentral:ncRNA from 2 species